rnacentral:rRNA from 1 species
AAUAAUUAUAUUACUUGCUUUUAUUAUAAUCUUUUUUGCUUUUAUGAAAAACAAUUUUGGGUUGAGGUAAUUUUUAAUGACUUGAGUGUUUUUAAGGCGAUAGUAAAUAAGUACUGUGAAGGAAAGAGUAAAAAAGGAUAAAUAAAUUUAUAUANUAGUUUUGAAAAAGCGUACCUUGUGUAUUAGGGGAAAUUAACAUAAUUUAAAAAUAUUAAUAAUCCCGAAAUAGGAAUAGCUAGUUUUAUAUGAUUCUUUUUGUAGAAUAAAAAUUUUGAAUAUAAAAUUAGAAAUGAAAUGUUAUCCGAGUUCUNUGAUAUCUGGUUUUUUACAAAAUAAAUUUAAUUUAGAUUUUACAUUUAAUUAGUUUUAUUGUAAGAUUUAAGCGCAGGAGGGAAUAGCUUCUUGUGUUAAAAAUAUUAAAUAGUAGCGUACUUUUAGUAAUAAAGAAUUUGAAUUAGGCUUAAUAAUAGCUAAAUUGAUAAAGUGUUUUAAUUAAAUGUUUAUAAGAGAGUAUUUGCUUUUGCUUUUAAUAUAUCGUAGAAGAUAAUUUUAAAUUACUAAAAAAAAGACNAAAUGAUUUUAUUAGUAGAAAAGUGAUGUUUAAGAUUUAUAGAAUUAUAAUAUUAAACAAAAUAUAGGAAAUUAUGGUAAUAUAAAGGAACUCGGCAAAUAUCUUUCUUGCCUGUUUAUCAAAAACAUGUCUGUUUGAAGAUAUAGAGAGUCCGGCCUGCCCACUGAUAUAUUUUGAAGGGCCGCGGUAUAUUGACCGUGCAAAGGUAGCAUAAUAGUUAGGUUUUUAAUUGAGAUCUUGUAUGAAUGGUCUGACAAGGAAAGAUCUGUCUUUAUAUUGUUGAUUGAAAUUAACUUUUAAGUGAAAAGGCUUAAAUAGCUUAAGGGGACGAUAAGACCCUAUAAAACUUGAUAUAAGGGCAUAUUUAGUCAAAUUUUAUUAGAUAAAGAUUAAGUAUAAUCAUUAUGUUAUGUUGGGGCGACAUGAAUAAAAUUAGUGAUAACUGUUUAGUAUAUAGAGACAAGUAUUUGUGAUUAGGUUAGUAAAUGAUCCUAGAUUAUAGAUUAAUAGAUUAAGUUACUUUAGGGAUAACAGCGUUAUUUUUUUUGAGAGUACUUAUCGAAAAAAAAGUUUGCGACCUCGAUGUUGAAUUAAAAUUUCUA